UGUUUUGAAACGUCUUAAAGAACAGGAGGAAUAAGACUAGGAGUUGCUUUAAAGGCUGUCUUCAUCUCUGCAACUUUACAGCCCAAAUACUUUUGGCAUUCAACAAAACUGAGUUCAAAUCCAGGCUCUGCUAUGUUUAAUAGAGCACUAAAUGGGCUUCUAAGCCUCUUGGAGCUUCGGUAAAAUGAGACGGAUAAUAUUGACCUUAGUGUGAAAAUUGGGUUAAAUUAGGAAAAACAAAUGAGAUAAUGGGAUUGAGUGAAAAUGAGGAUAACUCUUACUUUAGCAGAAGGAUUAAAUUAAAUAAUGUCAGACCAGGUGUGGUGGUGGCCCACACCUGUAAUCCUAGCAUUCUGGGAGGCCAAGGUGGGUGGAUCUCUUGAGCCCAGGAGUUUGAGACUAGUCUGAGUAAAAUAGCAAGACUCCAUCUAUACUAACAAUAAUAAUAAUAAUAAUAAUAAUAAUAAAUUAGCAGAAGGUGGUGGCGAAUGCCUGUAGUCCCAGCUACUGGAGAGGCUGAGGUGGGAGGAUCCCCUGAGCCAGGAAAGUUGAGGCUGCAGUGAGCUAGAAUCACACCACUGCACCCCAGCCUGGGUGACAGAGUGAGAUCCUUCAUAGACAUUAUCUGAUUUUUUUUUAGCCUUCAGCAGAAUUUUUUUUUUUUAAAUAAAAUUAGAUAAUGUCUGUGAAGUGCUCAGCUCCCUGCCUGGCUGUCGUAGUUGCUGGAGAAGAGACACAUCACCGAGGGGCAUUGAAGGGGACUUUCGCUGAAUGGCGGUGGCUCUGGAGAAAAAGAAGCCUCAGCAUCAGCACCACACAGAUCAUCUGAGUCCUAGAGCCCAACCAGCCUUGGAGGCCACAUGGUACGAAACAGCAGCCAGACACCAAGGUACUUGGUACCAAGACAAUACUCCUGAUCUCCAUCAUGAACCAAUCUAUGCCUUAUGGGUGAGCUCCCAUGAACCCGAGGAGGAACCACGGAUGUGAGCUGGCUCGUGCACCUUGUCCAUUCCCUGCCUGAGAGGCCUCUUCUGAGUGCCCAGGAUCUCACUCUGUCACCCGGACUGGAGUACAGCGGCACCAUCUUGGCUUACUGCAGCCGUGACCUUCUGGGCUCUGGCAAUACUCCCACCUCAGCCUCCCUAGGAGCUGGGGCUACAGGCACAUGCCACCACGCCCAGCUAAUUUUUGUAGAGAUGGGGUCUCACCAACUUUCCAGGGCUGAUCUGGAACUUCUGAGCUCAAGUGAUCCACCCACCCUGGCCUCCCAAAGUGCUGGUAUUACAGGCAUCAGCCACCACGCCCCGCCAAGCAAGAACUUUUGCCCUCUCAGUCCUCCACGAUCAGACGGAGUUCUGAGUCACUUUUAUGCCCCCUUCACACAACUUCACGCCGACUGUUUUUCCUCGAGAUACAGCCUCUGCUCCGUGCCCUGACUCAAUGCCAGCUCCUAACUUGCAGUUGUGUUCCUUGCUGUGACAUCCUAUAUGCUGAAUGUCCAUGGAGAAGUGUGGCUCACUUUAACCCGACUAAUUUCUAAAAAAUAAGUCAUCACAACCAAAGAUGGGCAUCAUGUUAAAAGACAGCUUUCAACACAAUCCAUGUAGCCCUGAGGGUAAUACAAGGUACACCAGGUACCAGGUAUACCAGGUGUUUCCCAUGUGUGCUUCCAGACAGAUUCCAACAGUCAGUCAUGACCAGACAAAUAUGUUUCCGAUAAGGACAUAGGCUUGAGAUCACUCUGAAAAGCAAGGAAAGUUGUACCACAGCAUGUUUAUAUCAACUGAUCUUGGACUUGGGACAGUUUAAAAGAGAUGAAAACAACAGAGUAACUUCAUUUUUUCUUGCAACUCAUUCAAAAUGUAUGAAUUUUGCAACUUUUUUUUUUUUUUUUUUUUGAGACGGAGUCUCACUCUGUCGCCCAGGUUGGAGUGCAGCGGUCUUAUCUCGGCUCACUGCAAGCUCCGCCUCCCGGUUGACAUCAUUCUCCUGCCUCAGCCUCCCAAGUAGCAGGGACUACAGGCACCUGCCACCAUGCCUGGCUAAUUUUUUUGUAUUUUUAGUAGAGUUGGGGUUUCACCAUGUUAGCCAGGAUGGUCUGCAGAAUUAUUUUUAUGCAGAAUUUUAUAUAGGCUACAAAAGGCCUUCGCAGGAUUAGAGGCAUUCCUCCUCUCUAGCUGCCCAAUCAGUCUUGGUCACCCCAGCCCCUCUCUCUGCUGCCCCCCACUUCACCCCGUCAAUGGCGAGUCCCUUUCUUACUCCUCCAAGGUCCACUGUGUGCACAAAGCAUCUUCCCAUAUUCAGAUCUGUUUCCAGUCAAACAGGUGACAAAUUCAUUCCAAUGAAAUUAUCUGUGACCGUUCACCUCUCCCACAUGCACCAACGUCUUAAGCCAGAGAAGCAAUACUUGUUUGACUUGAGUGAGUAAUAAAUGAUCAUUAUAAAUGGAAGAGAGAGGGUCUUCCCGCAGCCCUAGAAGUUUAAACACAGAAUUUUCCAGCUGCUUCUGCCACUUGAAUGCCAUGUAUAUAUAUUUUGCUGAAUAAAAACCAGGCCAAUUAUUUUUUCAGAUUAGUAAUUUUACCUAUAUAUGAAAUGCCUUACAAAUGUGUAACAUUUAAAUUGCAGGUACUAUACAUUCAAUUUUCUUUCAUCAAGUGGUGUAAACUCACUAAAAAUCAGUAUUAUCGUAGAAAACACAAAAGUCCUAGUAGGCAUCCCAAUCAGUAAAAGGGAUGGCCAUGAAAAGGGGAUGUGGUCAUAAAAUCAGCAACAGAAUUUUCCUGGCUUUAUUGUCCCUCAGUGAAGCUACGCUGCAAACCACUGUCACUGACGUAUGCUCCCCUGUUUCAAAGCAAACUUCAAUCUCCUCCAUAACCAUGCCCAGAAAAAACUUUUCUGUAAUGAAUGGUAUACUUUUGUAAUUUAAUACAAUUACAUUUAUAUUUUAAAAUAUUCAAUAUCUCAUUUUUUGUUGAUAUUUUAUGUCACAUUCGCAAAGCAUUUGGCACACCUACUAUAAGAGUGAGUGAAAAUUUUUUUUAAAAAAAAGGAAGGGAGGGAG
rnacentral:lncRNA from 1 species